GAUAAACGCUGGCGGUGUACAUAAGACAUGCAAGUCGAACGGGAGAAGACAGGAAGAUUUAUCUACUUGUUGGACACCGUGGCGGACGGGUGAGUAACACGUAAGCAACCUGCCUAUAAGAGGGGAAUAACAGUGAGAAAUUACUGAUAAUACCGCAUAAGCUGGAGGUAUCGCAUGAUACAUUCAGAAAAGAUUUAUCGCUUAUAGAUGGGCUUGCGUCUGAUUAGCUAGUUGGUGAGAUAACAGCUCACCAAGGCGACGAUCAGUAGCCGGAUUGAGAGGUUGAACGGCCACAUUGGGACUGAGACACGGCCCAGACUCCUACGGGAGGCAGCAGUCGGGAAUAUUGCACAAUGGAGGAAACUCUGAUGCAGUGACACCGCGUAUAGGAAGAAGGUCUUAGGAUUGUAAGCUAUUGUCGUGUGAGAAGAAAAUGACCAUCACAGGAGGAAGCC
rnacentral:rRNA from 1 species